GUCUCUUUCAUUGCAUCCACUGUUUCUGCGUCUCUGACAUUGUCUCAAAAUAUUCAGCAUGCAAAAUUUCUUAAUAAUUUAGCUCAAAAUACUUCCAAGGCUCUGCGUAAUCAAGUAAAUAUUGAAGAAAGGAUUGAGACUAAAUUAAACGCCUUAGAGGCGACUGUUAUAGACAUAGGUAGUGAACUUUCAGCUUCAAAAUUUAAAGAAAGGCUUAAAUGCCACGCAAAUUAUAAAUAUGUGUGUGUUACAGCUGCCAAGUACAACGCUUCUCUCUGGGAUUGGGAGAAGGUUAAAAACCAUUUGUUAGGUAUUUGGGAAAAUAAUAAUAAUAGCUUGGAUCUUUUGGAACUUCAUCACCAUAUCCAAGACAUUCAAAAUAAUAGAGCUGAUUUUUCGGAUCCUUCUUCUUUGGCUAACCAAAUAUUGAAGGAGUUAAAUGGAUUUAACCCUGGAAAUAUUCUUAAACACUUGGCCUGGUACAUUAUUGGAUUGUUCUCUUUGCUGUUAAUUCUCUUUUGUGUUGUAAUUAUAGGAUGGAGAGUCUUCAGAACAAGAAAGCAGAAACUCAAAAGAGUGAACCACCGCCUGAUUUUUAAGAGAAAAAAGGGAGAAUAUGUGGGAAGCCAUUCUCACACGUCAUUGGGCACCUCCCUGAUUAUGUGUGAGGCAUUCUGGCCAAACUGUGUCGGAGCUAAUCCCCACCCUCUCCAGGUGAAAGAGCCUGUCUGAGUGGGGGUGUGACUGACCAUUGACCCUGAGGCCAAUCACUGACCCUGACCUUGUAAUGCUGCCCCCCCUUGACCUUCAUUGGAUGGAGUUUUUCCCUGAAUUUCUUGUUCCCCAAUAAAAGGCCACUCCCUGGAGUGCUCUCUCUCUCUCUCUCUCUCUCUCUCUCUCUCUCUCUCUCUCUCUCUCUCCUGUUAGUCCUGAAUAAACCUUGCUGCCCCACCAGGUGGCUUGAGGCAGGAGCCAGAGGGGAGAGCCAUCUCGGACCUGGUCA
rnacentral:lncRNA from 1 species